CCUAACAAAUACUUUAUAUUUUUUUUUCUACUUUUUACAAUUUCCCGAUAUUAAAAUAUAGAUACAUUAUUAUAAAUUCCCUGUUUAGGUCACCAUAAAUAGGACCUUUAUGAGAUGAUAAAGAGGACCAAUGCUCAUCAAAACCUAUAACUCCAGAGAAAGAGUUCCCUACAAAAUUCCCCAAAUUCACAGUGAAGGAUUCUUGGUCAAAUUCUCUCAACUUCCCUUAUCUUUCAAGAGGCUUCCACAUAUCUUGAUCCUUUUUAUAGUCACAGCAAGGAAGACCUCUUAAUAGAGAUUCAGCCUUAUGAAGUAGGAGUUGCCAACAUGAUCUCUUUCGAGAUGACAACCUUAUAUUCUCUAAGGGAGCAUUUUCUUAAUCUCGAGAGGUUGUUCGAAUUCUAGAUGUAUAUGAAAAGACUUAUGGUCAAGUUAUCAACUACGAAAAAUUUGCCAUUGCUUUAGGCCCUCGUAUCCUCCUUCAAAAAAGACAGAUAUAAUCAAUCAUCUAAAGGUCAAAUUGGUUCGCAAUCAUGGAAGGUAUUUGGAUGUUCCUUCAUCCUUGUCAAAGAAUAAACAAGUAUCAUUAUCUUAUAUUAAAGACAAAGUGUGUAAAACUUUGUAGGGAUAGAAGGAUCGUUUGUUCUUGAAAGCUAGCAAAUAAGUGUUGAUCAAAUAAUUGGCUCAUGUCAUUCCAGCCUAUACUCUUUCUUGCUUUAAAUUGCCUAUGGGAUCUUGUCAUGAGCUUAAUUAAAUUAUGGCCAAUUGUUGGAGUGGUUCUGAUAAUGGCAAAAAGACUCGAUGGGUUAGUUUGAAGCGAAUGACUUACCCUAAAGGAGAAAGGUGGCUUAGGUUUCCAAGAUAUUCAUCUUUUAAAUCAAGCGUUGUUGGCAACACACAUGACACAUCCUAGAAGGAGAGCAUCCUCUUAUGGCUCAGACGUCAAAGGCUAAACAUUUUCCAAACUCUUCUUUUCUCCAUGCGGGUAUGGGCUAUCAUCAUUCCUAUACAUGGUGAAGCAUAUUAUGGAGUCGUGAGUUUGCGCUCAAAGGUGGGUGUAGAGGAUUGGGGUGGCCAAUCAGUAGAUACCUAGAGAAUUUGCCUUCAUGUUACUCCCUUUACCAAUACUACUUUAUGUAUCUUCAGUAGAUGGUUUUAUUUAUUAUGGGCAAUAGAACCAUACUCUGACAAAUGAGUUGUUCUAUUCGAAGGAUUUUAGCGUUCUUAGGAGUAUCCCCUUCACUCUUCACCUCAUCUCAAUUGUUUUUUUUCAACAUUAUGAUUAUAUUAUAUUAUAUUAUAUAUAUAUAUAUAUAUACUCUAACAAGAGUGAGUACAAGUUGGCUCAGGCCUCGACGUUGGAAGCAUUUUCCUCUUAUAGUCUUCUCAUGGAAAAAUUUUAGAAAUCAUUGGGGACCUUUUUUGUCUCACAAAAGACGAAAAUAUGUGUGGCACGCAUACCUUAAUUCUCUUAUCAUCACCAGUGGGAAAUGCCCUUGAUGUCAUCAUGCUUCGAAAUCGAGUAUCCCUACUCUUUGGGAAUGGCCUAGCAGAUUUUGAUCCUGAUGGAUACCAGAAUCUUUUUGCUCAUUGCUUCCGCCAUUUGACACAUAUGUAACAUUCUGGUUUUUUAUGGCCAUAGCAAUCAUAAUUUUGAUCCUAUCUGAUAGGCAAUGAACUUGGUGGAAUCUAUCGAUCGACAAUCCAAAUCAGAUCACGUCCAGUUGCCUCGCUAUCGCCUGGCUUUUGAGGAGGUCUCUCAUUGGUCAGCCCUUGCCCAUGACAUAUUUAAGCUAAACUCUAAUGCGGAUUUUCUGGAUGGUGAAAUGGGUAUUGGAGCCAUUGUUCAUAAGAAUGGCAAUGUUUUGUUUAAUAUGGAAAGUUACUUCAUUACGACAUGGUCUGUAGAGCUCCUUGAGGCCGUUGAUAUUUCUAGUGUCUUUGAGGCUAGCAUUUUUUUUCUUUGGAUCAAAUCUGGUUUCAAAAUUCUUUGAAAUUAGAAAUUUUCAUCACACGA